CGACCCCAGGUCAGGCGGGGCUACCCGCUGAGUUUAAGCAUAUCAAUAAGCGGAGG
rnacentral:rRNA from 6 species